rnacentral:rRNA from 1 species
UUUAUGAAGAGUUUGAUCCUGGCUCAGAUUGAACGCUGGCGGUAUGCUUAACACAUGCAAGUCGUACGGUAACAGGUCUUUAGGGAUGCUGACGAGUGGCGAACGGGUGAGUAAUGCGUGGGAAUCUGCCUAGAAGAGAGGGACAACUUGAGGAAACUCAAGCUAAUACCUCGUACGCUCUAAGGAGGAAAGCAGGGGAUCUUUUUGACCUUGCGCUUUUGGAUGAGCCCACGUCGGAUUAGUUAGUUGGUGGGAUAAUAGCUUACCAAGACGAUGAUCCGUAGCUGGUCUGAGAGGAUGAUCAGCCACAUUGGGACUGAGACACGGCCCAGACUCUUACGGGAGGCAGCAGUGGGGAAUAUUGGACAAUGGGCGAAAGCCUGAUCCAGCAAUACCGCGUGUGCGAAGAAGGCCUGUGGGUUGUAAAGCACUUUCAGUGGAGAAGAAGAAAUAAUUGGUAAUAUCUUUUAUUUUUGACGUUAUUCAAAGAAGAAGCACCGGCUAACUCUGUGCCAGCAGCCGCGGUAAUACAGAGGGUGCAAGCGUUAAUCGGAAUUAUUGGGCGUAAAGAGUGCGUAGGUGGUUUAUUUAAGUUAGAUGUGAAAUCCCUGGGCUUAACCUAGGAAUUGCGUUUAAUACUAUUUAACUAGAGUAUUGUAGAGGAAAGUGGAAUUUCCGGUGUAGCGGUGAAAUGCGUAGAUAUCGGAAGGAACACCAGUGGCGAAGGCGACUUUCUGGACAAAUACUGACACUGAGGUACGAAAGCGUGGGGAGCAAACAGGAUUAGAUACCCUGGUAGUCCAUGCUGUAAACGAUGAGAACUUGCUGUUAGACAUAUAAAAAUGUUUAGUAGCGUAGCUAACGUGUUAAGUUCUCCGCCUGGGGAGUACGACCGCAAGGUUAAAACUCAAAGGAAUUGACGGGGGCCCGCACAAGCGGUGGAACAUGUGGUUUAAUUCGAUGCAACGCGAAGAACCUUACCUACCCUUGAUCUCUGGAAUUGAAUAGAAAUAUUCAAGUGCCUUUUAGGAACCAGAUGACAGGUGCUGCAUGGCUGUCGUCAGCUCGUGUCGUGAGAUGUUGGGUUAAGUCCCGUAACGAGCGCAACCCUUAUUCUUAGUUACCAUCAAGUUAUGUUGGGGACUCUAAGAAAACUGCCGGCAAUAAACCGGAGGAAGGUGAGGACGACGUCAAGUCAUCAUGGCCUUUAUGGGUAGGGCUACACACGUGUUACAAUGGUUGGUACAAAGGGUCGCUAAGUCGUGAGAUGGUGCAAAUCCUAUAAAACCAAUCGUAGUCCGGAUUGAAGUCUGCAACUCGACUUCAUGAAGUCGGAAUCGCUAGUAAUCGUGGAUCAGAAUGCCACGGUGAAUACGUUCCCGGGCCUUGUACACACCGCCCGUCACACCAUGGGAGUGGGUUGCACCAGAAGUAAUUAGUUUAACUGUAAAGAGGACGAUUACCACGGUGUGGUUCAUGACUGGGGUGAAGUCGUAACAAGGUAGCCGUAGGGGAACCUGCGGCUGGAUCACCUCCUUA